rnacentral:rRNA from 1 species
AUUCCAGCUCCAGUAGCGUAUAUUAAAGUUGUUGCGGUAAAAAAGCUCGUAGUUGGAUUUCUGCUAGGGAUGAUCGGUCCACACCAUGUGUGCGCAUCUGACUCGUCCUUGGCAUCCUUUCGAGAAUCGUAUCUGCGCUUCAUUGCGUGGUGCGAGUUUCGGAACUUUUACUUUGAGGAAAUUAGAGUGUUCACGGCAGGCUAUCGCCAGAAUACAUUAGCAUGGAAUAAUAAUAUAGGAUCUCGGUUCUAUUUUGUUGGUUUCUAGAACAGGGAUAAUGAUUAAUAGGGACAAUUGGGGGCAUUCGUAUUAUGGUGUCAGAGGUGAAAUUCUUGGAUUACCAUACGACGAACUACUGCGAAAGCAUUUGCCAAGGAUGUUUUCAUCA